GCCUGGGCUGGCUGGCUUUUAAUUCAGCUGAAAAUGGGGCUCGGACACCAGAACGUCUCCCUUGAAGGGAAGAGCUUUGGAAUAUAUGAAAAGGAAAUGUGCUUAUCUCACGCCUUAGUGAAGCAGAGAAAAACAGCUUGGGAAAGGAAGAUGAACAUCACCUCAAGAAUGUAUGGGUUCGACCAAAGGCAUGGCCGCGCAGCACCUUAGGGGGAAGAAGGAAGAGAUCCGGCUCAUCUGCAACGCCCUUGAACACCUGACAGUGGACACCAGCAGUGCUGUGUCACAUGUGGCUCUUCAAACACUGUAUGGCCUCCAAGCACUGCAGUGUGCGCGAUAUUCCGCAUUCCAGAGGCUGCAAGAUCAACUCUGCAGGGCAUGGAGGACACGGCCUCGUCUGUCGGGGCUCGGCUGGCUGUGCUGCUGGAGCUGUGCAGAGAGCUGAUGCCAGAGGCUCUGUCUGCUGGGAACACUGGAGCCAGCAGGAAUUUCCCAUUUCUUUAACAUUGUUCUCUUCUUCUUUUUGUUUUUUCUUUAGUAUAUAAAUAUAGAGUGUGUUAUAAUA